rnacentral:rRNA from 1 species
CGAUGGCUAAUACCGCAUGAUGCCUACGGGCCAAAGAGGGGGACCUUCGGGCCUCUCGCGUCAGGAUAUGCCUAGGUGGGAUUAGCUAGUUGGUGAGGUAAUGGCUCACCAAGGCGACGAUCCCUAGCUGGUCUGAGAGGAUGAUCAGCCACACUGGAACUGAGACACGGUCCAGACUCCUACGGGAGGCAGCAGUGGGGAAUAUUGCACAAUGGGCGCAAGCCUGAUGCAGCCAUGCCGCGUGUAUGAAGAAGGCCUUCGGGUUGUAAAGUACUUUCAGUCGUGAGGAAGGUGGUGUUGUUAAUAGCAGCAUCAUUUGACGUUAGCGACAGAAGAAGCACCGGCUAACUCCGUGCCAGCAGCCGCGGUAAUACGGAGGGUGCGAGCGUUAAUCGGAAUUACUGGGCGUAAAGCGCAUGCAGGUGGUGGAUUAAGUCAGAUGUGAAAGCCCGGGGCUCAACCUCGGAACCGCAUUUGAAACUGGUUCACUAGAGUACUGU